UACAGAGGUGGCAAGCGUUGUUCGGAAUUACUGGGCGUAAAGGGCGCGUAGGCGGUUCGUUAAGUCCUGUGUGAAAUCCCCCGGCUCAACUGGGGAACUGCACAGGAAACUAGCGGGCUUGAGUUCGGGAGAGGGAAGCGGAAUUCCGGGUGUAGCGGUGAAAUGCGUAGAUAUCCGGAGGAACACCGGUGGCGAAGGCGCUUCC
rnacentral:rRNA from 1 species